rnacentral:pre_miRNA from 1 species
AGAACUGUCACCGACUGGAAGACUAGUGAUUUUUUUGUUGUGCUCACGACUAACAAGAAAUCACUUUGUUUCCUGCCGGUGCUUUUCU